CGUCGUCAUUCAUAUUAAUGAGAACGAUAUUUGUUUAUAGUUAUCGUUAUCGUUCUUGGUGUGAAUAGGCCUUUAAUUGUAGAGAGAAUGCAUACAGCCAAAAUGUGAAAGUUUGUGAACCCCUUGGAAUUAUUUGGUUUUCUGCAUAAAUUGGUCACAAAAUGUGAUCUGAUCUUCAUUUAGUGUUAUAGAAAUAAAUUGUAAGAAUUAUUUUAGAUUUUCAUGGUCAGUUCUUUGCAUGUAUAAAGGCUAUUAUCAUAGCACACACACGGUUUGAAGUACGAUAAAUUAAUUGAAGAUAUAUUGCUUUUGCAAUAAAUGAGCAACUUUGCUUAAUUUAAUGUAGGGCUGAAAGCAUGGCAACAUUGGCGCCACCGUCUCUUCUACCCCAGAGGGUUUCCCCCUAAAGACCGUUAGGGAUGUGGAAGUCAUGGAAGGAAAACUGGCAAAUCUUCAUGUCCAAACUGGUUGCAGCUAUGACUGACAUAGGGGGGACAACUGUUGACGAGGCCACAAGAAGGAUGAUGACCUUCCUCCUAGACCAUGGCCUAUCCAGGCAGUACAACUUUGUGGGCCAAACGGGAUGAGAGAGUUCAAGGCCUUACAACUGAGGUUUAAAGAAAAAAGGCAUGACCAGCCAAAUCAUUGGUGCUAGGGACCGGGAGGGCAUGUUUUCUUAAUUUUACAUAAAUAAAAAGGUAUUGAAUUAUAUUACUAGUCUCUUUGUUAUUAUAGCUUUUUUAACACUUGUAAGGUGUUUGGGUCUGUGGGACCCACUUUCAAUGUUUGCUAAAAAGAAAAUUAUGCUAUUUAUUAUUUCUUCUCACUCAAACUCAUUGGCUUUCUAUAUCUGCUAUCCCCACACAAAGUUACAAAACUUACAUUUCAAGCACUUUCACCUGUUCUGAUUAAGUUCUAAGAAAUAAGCACCAAUAAUGAUAAAAAAAAAAAAAACUUGUUUCUAUUUACCUUUUUAUAAUUGA